rnacentral:rRNA from 1 species
UACGUAGGGGGCAAGCGUUGUCCGGAAUCAUUGGGCGUAAAGAGCGUGUAGGCGGCCAGAUAAGUCCGCUGUGAAAACUCGAGGCUCAACUUCGAGCUGUCGGCGGAAACUAUCUGGCUAGAGUCCGGAAGAGGAGAGUGGAAUUCCUGGUGUAGCGGUGAAAUGCGCAGAUAUCGGGAAGAACACCCGUGGCGAAGGCGGUUCUCUGGGACGGUACUGACGCUGAGACGCGAAAGCGUGGGGAGCGAACAGG